AACGCGAAGAACCUUACCAGCUUUUGACAUGUCCUGGACGGAUUGCAGAGAUGCGAUCUUCUCUUCGGAGCCGGGAACACAGGUGCUGCAUGGCUGUCGUCAGCUCGUGUCGUGAGAUGUUGGGUUAAGUCCCGCAACGAGCGCAACCCUCGCCCUUAGUUGCCAUCAUUCAGUUGGGCACUCCAGGGGGACUGCCGGUGAUAAGCCGGAGGAAGGUGGGGAUGACGUCAAGUCCUCAUGGCCCUUACAGGCUGGGCUACACACGUGCUACAAUGGCGGUGACAACGGGAGGCGAAGGGGCGACCCUUAGCAAAUCUCGAAAAGCCGUCUCAGUUCGGAUUGCACUCUGCAACUCGAGUGCAUGAAGUUGGAAUCGCUAGUAAUCGCGGAUCAGCACGCCGCGGUGAAUACGUUCCCGGGCCUUGUA
rnacentral:rRNA from 1 species